rnacentral:tRNA from 1 species
GAAAUAUGUUAUAAACAAGAUAAAGCUUCUAACUUUCUUCUUUAGCAGUGAAAUUCCGUUAAUAUUUCU